rnacentral:miRNA from 1 species
UGAACAAGAAUGCUGAGAGGAU